rnacentral:rRNA from 1 species
UACGUAGGGGCAAGCGUUGUCCGGAAUCAUUGGGCGUAAAGCGCGCGUAGGCGGCCCGGUAAGUCCGCUCUGAAAGUCCAGGGCUCAACCCUGGAAUGCGGGUGGAUACUGCCGGGCUAGAGUCCGGAAGAGGCGAGUGGAAUUCCUGGUGUAGCGGUGGAAUGCGCAGAUAUCAGGAGGAACACCAAUAGCGAAGGCAGCUCGCUGGGACGGUACUGACGCUAAGGCGCGAAAGCGUGGGAGCAACAGG